UACGUAGGGCGCAAGGCGUUGUCCGGAAUUAUUGGGCGUAAAGAGCUACGUAGGCGGCUUGUCACGUCGGGUGUGAAAGCCCGGGGCUUAACCCCGGGUCUGCAUCCGAUACGGGCAGGCUAGAGUGUGGUAGGGGAGAUCGGAAUUCCUGGUGUAGCGGUGAAAUGCGCAGAUAUCAGGAGGAACACCGGUGGCGAAGGCGGAUCUCUGGGCCAUUACUGACGCUGAGGAGCGAAAGCGUGGGGAGCAAACAGG
rnacentral:rRNA from 1 species